GAAUGAUGAUGAGUCGUUUCCCACACACAGAAAUGAAAAGAAGAGGGGGGUUUUGUCAACGUAAGCUUAAUUUGGUUAUAAAUACUGAAUUAUUUCCAUAAUUUUCAUAUUCCACAUCAGUCUCUUUGAGAGUUAAAUCAGCCAUCUUUAAGUGCCCCACAUCUACUUCAACAUAUAUCAUCACUCCUACAAGAGUUAACUUUUCGUGAAUCAUCAAAGUAUAUCUUCAAAAACUAAUAAAAAUGGAUCUGAAAGCAGCCUUUACCAAGGGGAACAAAGUUGCAGAAUCGAUGGCAGCCACGAAACUGGAACCUUUCGUCUAUCAUCCGAUAAUCUCUAUGAAGAGAUUAGAAACAAAAUACGGUCCUCAGGUGCUCGUCGAAAUAGAGGACAACAAAAAGGUGUGGCUGCCAUCGAGCUUCUCAAAGGAGCUAACGGAUGAAGUAAUAUCAACCAUCAGACCAUAUGAAUGGCUUAUGUCAUUCAAAGGAAUGAAAAAAAUAGGCAGAUUCACCAAAGCAGAAUUUGAUGUUAAGCUGAAUAACCACAACGAUGUUUUAUAACAAAUUAUGUACGUUCAUGUUAUUUGGUAAAAUAAAAUUAAUUAAACAUA